UCCGUAGGUGAACCUGCGGAAGGAUCAUUAUCGAGUUUUUGAACGGGUUGUAGCUGGCCUUCCGAGGCAUGUGCACGCCCUGCUCAUCCGCUCUCACACCUGUGCACUUACUGUGGGUUUUGGACGGCGCAAAGCGGAUUCGCUGAGCGUUGUCUGUGCCCGCGUCCACUACAAACACUUUAAAGUAUCAGAAUGUGAAAGCGAUGCUAUACAUAAAUAUACAACUUUCAGCAACGGAUCUCUUGGCUCUCGCAUCGAUGAAGAACGCAGCGAAAUGCGAUAAGUAAUGUGAAUUGCAGAAUUCAGUGAAUCAUCGAAUCUUUGAACGCACCUUGCGCUCCUUGGUAUUCCGGGGAGCAUGCCUGUUUGAGUGUCGCAAAAACAUUCAACCUACAAGCUAUUGUGGCUUUGUAGGCUUGGACUUGGAGGCUUGCUGGCCGUAGUGGGCCGGCUCCUCUCAAAUGCAUUAGCUUGGUUCCUUGUGGAUCGGUUUCACGGUGUGAUAAUUGUUUAUGCCGCGACCGUGAAGCGUUUGGCAGGCUUCUAAUGGUCCUCCGCAAGGGGACAACAAAUGACCUUCUGACCUCAAAUCAGGUAGGACUACCCGCUGAACUUAAGCA
rnacentral:rRNA from 1 species